rnacentral:rRNA from 1 species
UACGUAGGGUGCAAGCGUUACUCGGAAUUACUGGGCGUAAAGCGUGCGCAGGCGGUUUCGUAAGUCUGUCGUGAAAUCCCCGGGCUUAACCUGGGAACUGCAUUUGUGACUGCAAGGCUAGAGUACGGCAGAGGGGGAUGGAAUUCCGCGUGUAGCAGUGAAAUGCGUAGAUAUGCGGAGGAACACCGAUGGCGAAGGCAAUCCCCUGGGCCUGUACUGACGCUCAUGCACGAAAGCGUGGGGAGCAAACAGG